rnacentral:rRNA from 1 species
CAGUAGCCGCGGUAAUACGUAGGGUGCAAGCGUUAAUCGGAAUUACUGGGCGUAAAGCGUGCGCAGGCGGUUAUAUAAGACAGAUGUGAAAUCCCCGGGCUCAACCUGGGAACUGCAUUUGUGACUGUAUAGCUAGAGUACGGCAGAGGGGGAUGGAAUUCCGCGUGUAGCAGUGAAAUGCGUAGAUAUGCGGAGGAACACCGAUGGCGAAGGCAAUCCCCUGGGCCUGUACUGACGCUCAUGCACGAAAGCGUGGGGAGCAAACAGGAUUAGAUACCCCUGUAGUCCCUGUCUUUAUACA